rnacentral:rRNA from 1 species
CAGUCGCCGCGGUAAGACAGAGGAUGCAAGCGUUAUCCGGAAUGAUUGGGCGUAAAGCGUCUGUAGGUGGCUUUUCAAGUCCGCCGUCAAAUCCCAGGGCUCAACCCUGGACAGGCGGUGGAAACUACCAAGCUGGAGUACGGUAGGGGCAGAGGGAAUUUCCGGUGUAGCGGUGAAAUUCGUAGAUAUUGGGAAGAACACCGGUGGCGAAGGCGGCAACCUGGUCCAUUACUGACGCUGAGGCGCGAAAGCGUGGGGAGCAAACAGGAUUAGAUACCCCCGUAGUCCCUGUCUCUUAUAC